rnacentral:rRNA from 1 species
UACGUAGGGUGCAAGCGUUGUCCGGAAUUAUUGGGCGUAAAGAGCUCGUAGGCGGUCUGCCGCGUCGGCUGUGAAAACCCGGGGCUCAACCCCGGGCCUGCAGUCGAUACGGGCAGACUAGAGUGCGGUAGGGGAGACUGGAAUUCCUGGUGUAGCGGUGAAAUGCGCAGAUAUCAGGAGGAACACCGGUGGCGAAGGCGGGUCUCUGGGCCGUAACUGACGCUGAGGAGCGAAAGCGUGGGGAGCGAACAGG